rnacentral:misc_RNA from 1 species
CACGUAGGUGACAAACGUUAUCCGGAAUUACUGGGCGUAAAGCGCACGCAGGCGGUUGGUCAAGUUCGGCGUGAAAGCUCUCGGCUUAACCGGGAGAGGUCGUUGAAAACUGACUGGCUUGAGGUCAUGAGAGGGGUGUGGAAUUCCAGGUGUAGUGGUGGAAUGCGUAGAUAUCUGGAGGAACACCAGUGGCGAAAGCGACACCCUGGCAUGGACCUGACGCUCAGGUGCGAAAGCGUGGGGAGCAAACGGG